GGGCUCGUGGCACAGUGGUAGCGCAUCUGACUCCAAUAGUUGGUUUAUCAGGAGGUCAUCCGUUCAAAUCGGGUCGAGCUCA